rnacentral:rRNA from 1 species
GACGAACGCUGGCGGCGUGCUUAACACAUGCAAGUCGAACGGAAAGGCCCUGCUUUUGUGGGGUGCUCGAGUGGCGAACGGGUGAGUAACACGUGAGUAACCUGCCCUUGACUUUGGGAUAACUUCAGGAAACUGGGGCUAAUACCGGAUAGGAGCUCCUGCUGCAUGGUGGGGGUUGGAAAGUUUCGGCGGUUGGGGAUGGACUCGCGGCUUAUCAGCUUGUUGGUGGGGUAGUGGCUUACCAAGGCUUUGACGGGUAGCCGGCCUGAGAGGGUGACCGGCCACAUUGGGACUGAGAUACGGCCCAGACUCCUACGGGAGGCAGCAGUGGGGAAUAUUGCACAAUGGGCGGAAGCCUGAUGCAGCAACGCCGCGUGCGGGAUGACGGCCUUCGGGUUGUAAACCGCUUUCGCCUGUGACGAAGCGUGAGUGACGGUAAUGGGUAAAGAAGCACCGGCUAACUACGUGCCAGCAGCCGCGGUGAUACGUAGGGUGCGAGCGUUGUCCGGAUUUAUUGGGCGUAAAGGGCUCGUAGGUGGUUGAUCGCGUCGGAAGUGUAAUCUUGGGGCUUAACCCUGAGCGUGCUUUCGAUACGGGUUGACUUGAGGAAGGUAGGGGAGAAUGGAAUUCCUGGUGGAGCGGUGGAAUGCGCAGAUAUCAGGAGGAACACCAGUGGCGAAGGCGGUUCUCUGGGCCUUUCCUGACGCUGAGGAGCGAAAGCGUGGGGAGCGAACAGGCUUAGAUACCCUGGUAGUCCACGCUGUAAACGGUAGGUACUAGGUGUGGGGUCCAUUCCACGGGUUCCGUGCCGUAGCUAACGCUUUAAGUACCCCGCCUGGGGAGUACGGCCGCAAGGCUAAAACUCAAAGGAAUUGACGGGGCCCCGCACAAGCGGCGGAGCAUGCGGAUUAAUUCGAUGCAACGCGUAGAACCUUACCUGGGUUUGACAUGGAUCGGGAGCGCUCAGAGAUGGGUGUGCCUCUUUUGGGGUCGGUUCACAGGUGGUGCAUGGCUGUCGUCAGCUCGUGUCGUGAGAUGUUGGGUUAAGUCCCGCAACGAGCGCAACCCUUGUUCACUGUUGCCAGCACGUUAUGGUGGGGACUCAGUGGAGACCGCCGGGGUCAACUCGGAGGAAGGUGGGGAUGACGUCAAGUCAUCAUGCCCCUUAUGUCCAGGGCUUCACGCAUGCUACAAUGGCUGGUACAGAGAGUGGCGAGCCUGUGAGGGUGAGCGAAUCUCGGAAAGCCGGUCUCAGUUCGGAUUGGGGUCUGCAACUCGACCUCAUGAAGUCGGAGUCGCUAGUAAUCGCAGAUCAGCAACGCUGCGGUGAAUACGUUCCCGGG